UACGUAGGGACCAAGCGUUGUUCGGAUUUACUGGGCGUAAAGGGCGCGUAGGCGGCGCGGUAAGUCACUUGUGAAAUCUCUGAGCUUAACUCAGAACGGCCAAGUGAUACUGCAGUGCUAGAGUGUGGAAGGGGCAAUCGGAAUUCUUGGUGUAGCGGUGAAAUGCGUAGAUAUCAAGAGGAACACCUGAGGUGAAGACGGGUUGCUGGGCCAACACUGACGCUGAGGCGCGAAGCCAGGGAGCAA
rnacentral:rRNA from 1 species